AAACUAAAGCUUGAGCACAAUUUUUGGUGUUGAGGUGGAGGGGAUUGGGCUGGUACGGGGUGGAAGAGGCUGAGCAAAGCCUUCUGUUUAAAAAUAAUUAGGAGUAGUUUAAAACUCAAUAGGCAUUAAGGAAUCAAAGCUUUCAAACCUGUCCUUAUCAUCGAACUGAACAAGGGUUAGAGGGUCAAGGAUUAGAGAUUCA
rnacentral:misc_RNA from 1 species